GUCGGGCGUUCGAGUCGUCCCAGGCCCACCA
rnacentral:sRNA from 1 species